CAGCCGCCGCGGGAACACGAAGGGGGCUAGCGUUGCUCGGAAUGACUGGGCGUAAAGGGCGCGUAGGCGGCUUGCACAGUCAGAUGUGAAAUUCCUGGGCUUAACCUGGGGGCUGCAUUUGAUACGUGUGGGCUAGAGUGUGAAAGAGGGUCGUGGAAUUCCCAGUGUAGAGGUGAAAUUCGUAGAUAUUGGGAAGAACACCGGUGGCGAAGGCGGCGACCUGGUUCAUGACUGACGCUGAGGCGCGAAAGCGUGGGGAGCAAACAGGAUUAGAUACCCCCGUAGUCCCUGUCUCUUAUAC
rnacentral:rRNA from 1 species